rnacentral:rRNA from 1 species
CCCUAAAAGCUUUAUUGUAUGUAAGUUUGUUUAGAUUUAGUAGAAGAAUUUAGCUGGGGUAGUUGUUUUAUAUAAACUAAGGUUAAAUAUAACUUAAGGUUUAAGGCCCUUAAGAUUAAGAUAAUUAGAAUUAGUUACUUUAGGGUUAACAGCGUAAUAGUUUGGGAAAGGCCUUAUUUAUAAAAUUGAUUGCGCCCUCGAUGUUGAAUUAAAAUCAGCGACUAGGCAGAAU